GAUUCUGCAGAAGAUGGUGCCACUCAUAGCUCCAACCUGAAUGAAGUAGCUCCCCGAAUUCUAUUUAUGUCAUAAUGAAUAUAUUCAACUUAAUUUUGUCAAAGACUUCAUAGGCGCACCUGCAGCUAAGAGUGCAGUAUGGAUCUGGAGUGAUUCUGAAUUUUCUUUCCACAAAAAUAAUUUUGGCAGCUUGGGAUCAAUAUCUUCCUCCCAUAUGUUUCAUAUUCUCUAUAAAGUAUAAUUGAAGACACCCUUCUCAACAGUACUUCUCAGUACGAAUACAUUCAGAAAUUCUAAAUAGGUAAUUUGAAAAGGAAGGAAACUAACAUUUGGCGAGUGUUUUCUAUGACAUUCCAGGGCUGUGUGUUAUGCACCUUUGCAUAUGUCACUUCAUUUAAUCUGCACAACAAUGUGAGAACGACGAUGUCAAGCUUACUUUUGCAGGACAGGAGACUGAGGCUCAGAGAGGCUAAAAUACUUGCCUAAGAUCACACAGUCAUUAGCGGUACAGCCAGGAUCGGAAGCCAACGUUGUCUGACUCCAGAGCUUGCUCUGUUGUGUGUGCUCUCAACACUCCAUCUCUAAUUCUCCACCCCUCCCAAUCCCAAGCCUCUCCUUAUUGAGAACAUGGACUAAAUCUUUGGGGGAAAAUCCAAAUGCUGACACCAAACCUAGAGAGAGCUUUCUUGGACUGGACUUUGAAGGAACAUUUUUGGCUCAAACUUACACUUGGACCACAUCUACUUCAUCUUUAGUUAAUCGGCUUCAAUGUUCUCAUUUCCUUGUGUGUAAACGGAAGCAAAGUUGGACAAGGAUGUCCGUGACCUUGGACCAAAGGAGACUUUGACUUUAUUCGAGGAAAUCCUUGUCUUCCUCCAGGAGAUGAGAAGGAAGCGGUCCCAGCCCAGGGAGACGGAUUCUUUCCUCUGCUGCUCUGACAGCCAUCUCGGCAACUCUCCCGACCAAACUCCCCAGGCUGUGGCGUGCCCCGCCGUGUGGUUCCUGUUGGGAGGCAAGGACAUGUGCUGGAUGUGUAUGCAGUCUUUGAAGCUGGAGAGGCCUGUGUUGGAAACUGUGCUCUGUCCCAUACCAGUUCCCUGACCUUGGGUAAGUCACAUAAAGUGCGAGUCUUUUAUUUUUUUCUAGAGUGGAAAUGGGGCUAUGAAUUCCUAACACUGGUAGGAUUAUAAGGAAAAGGACAAGAUUAAAGUAAACAAUACAUUAUAAGCAUGGUGGCUAGCACAUGGCUAGUCUUCUCAAUGAAUA
rnacentral:lncRNA from 1 species